AUUGAACGCUGGCGGCAGGCCUAACACAUGCAAGUCGAACGAGUGGCGGACGGGUGAGUAAUGUCUGGGAAACUGCCUGAUGGAGGGGGAUAACUACUGGAAACGGUAGCUAAUACCGCAUACCAUCGGAUGUGCCCAGAUGGGAUUAGCUAGUAGGUGGGGUAAAGGCUCACCUAGGCGACGAUCCCUAGCUGGUCUGAGAGGAUGACCAGGCACACUGGAACUGAGACACGGUCCGGAGUCCUAUGGGAGGCAGCAGUGGGGAAUAUGGCACAAGUGGCUCAAGCCUGAGGCAGCCAUGCCGCGUGUAUGAAGAAGGCCUUCGGGUUGUAAAGUACUUUCAGCGGGGAGGCGUUACCCGCAGAAGAAGCACCGGCUAACUCCGUGCCAGCAGCCGCGGUAAUGC
rnacentral:rRNA from 1 species